CUACUUGAGUCAUUAUUGUAUUCUACAAAACCGAGUACUAAGAGCAAUGUAUUGAAUGCAUUGAGGAUGGAUCUUUCUGAAACAUUGUUUGUAAUAAUCUUAAUAACAUCUACCACAAGAUGUUUAAAUGCGGGUCCGUGCGACUCACCGAAGUCAUACGCAAACUUCCAGCGAAGAUUGUCAUCAAAUAAUAGAACCUCUGAAGAAACGCCACUAUCUGAUAGAUUUAUUGAUGAAGGGUGGUAUGGACAAGCCAAUGUUAAACUACUUGAAGUGGACCCACCUGGUGUUAAUCAUUGUGGAGCAAUAUAUCCCUUAUACUUAAAAGAUGCUGUCUAUAGCAAUAGCUCGCUGAGUACGGCCAUAGUGUGUGCUCAGUCCGGAGAUGACACCUGCCUGGAAGUGAAACAAAUUGAGACAAACUAUUGUCAGGAGUUGAACAUGUUUGUGUAUAAUCUUAAACGCAUAGAUUUAAGCGCAUCUGCAUACUGUAU